GUUUUACAGGACGUCCCUCCUUAAAAUGGUUAGGAGUGGAGUUUUACAGGUUGUCCGUUCUCCAAAUAAAUACACAACCUCAUCUCGAUAAAAUGGAAUGUCGCAAAUAUUUUAUUUCAUAUUUUGGACAAGAAAACAGUGGACUUAUUAAAGUAAAAACAUAUGUAUUUCUACAAAAUAUACAAAUUAACCUCUUAGUGUAGUGUUUACGGAGGAAAUAGCCGGAAAUGGAGCAAUGUGGAGAUCAUAAUUUAAGUCAAGUUCCUUAGAGCUUCACAGUUAAAAACAUGUUUGCUCGUAUUUUUUUUUUUUAUUGUGUGUUCAAUCGCAUUGAGACGUGAUACCAUGAAUGCACUAAUCAAAUAUAGCAUGAUAUUUAACAUGUUUGAGUUUUAAAAGAGUAUCGUACUAUGCUCUCAUUGUGAACAAUUGCCGAUUCCUCGUGUCAUUUCAUGUAAAAUUACACACUAACCGUAAUUUGACACGGUAUAUUUUUUCGAUUCUUUGUUCGAUCCGCACUUCAGUAGUAUAUUUCGACAAGGUAGUAAACAUCGUCAGAAGUGGCUGUAUUCCAGGCACUUAAUUCUUUGCAUAAUUAUUACAAAAACAUUAUUAGUAAUAAAAGUUUAUUUAAUAGCCUCUAUAGUAAUUAUAGUGCUGCAAUGGUAAUAUUGCUUUUUUAUACUCUUGCUGACUAUUGGAAAAAAAUCUUUCAGAUGCACCGAUCUAUCUGUGAGGCUGGUUCCUAUCCAGCUCUAGAAGAAUGCCAUGUUUGUUGUAAGGGACUUUUUCAUUACCCGCUGUGUCCUACCUUUAAACCCAGCAAAAAGACAGGCCCAUAUAUGAAUCUUCAUGUAAAAAGGGCAUUUCAUUUUAAAGACAUGGCUUUAGAUUUGCCUUUUGGACUGUUGAGGCAACUGGCCUCCUUCAGCGCAAGUUGUAGCCUGUACACAGGGUAUCCAGUACAUCUAAAAUAAGUCAUAGCACCCCAAAACAUGAGGUGGUGCUCAGUGAGCGUAGUUCAAACAACGAAAAGCCUGUGGACCUUAUAAUCAAGGAACAAGUGGCAAAAGAACAACUGAAUUUCCUCUAGCAAGGUCCAAGACUGGACCCAAAUCACCUGAUCACCACAUCAAAAGGGACACCUCACCCCCACCAGGCAGCCAGAACCCUGCAGCCAAAUUCCAGUGACCAGAUCUGGCUGCGUCAAGACACAGAUGCAUCCUACACCCGCUAACUCACACCAACACAGGAGAGAUUGGGGUUAUUCUAACACUCUCUUGCAACCUCUGACUGGACUCCGUUUCUCCGAGACCCGAUGCGACUGCCUAAGUUGAGUUACGGUGAAUACCGGCUCAACCACUGAGGUGUGCACACGCUGGGUUACGGCAAAGUCCGGCCCAGCCUCUGAGGCGCGCACACGCUGAGUUACGGUAAAAGACCGGCUCAGCCUCUGAGGCACUCACACGCUGAGGUAUGGCAAACACCGGCUUAACCUUUGUGGCCCUCACUAGCUCAGAUUUGGCCAGUGUCAGCUGAGACUCUGUGGUGUUAUGGGUCGCCAGGUCCUGACGGUUAUCUAGGCUGGUACUGUAUUACAUUGUAGUGAUUUCCCAACUUCUAAACCCAGUCCUACAUAGCAGAUCCACGAAUCGCCCCAUCGGCCAAGGCGAAUCCGGUGUGCUCCACCAUCCGGGAUUAGUGGGAGUUCAGCAAUAGAAGGCACUGCCCAGAAGUAAUCUAAAUAACAGAAAUGUCAUGACUAAAAUUGCCAUAAAGAUCUUUAAUUAAAUUGGAGUCAGAUAUGAUUCGGUCUUUACCUAAACCCACACGCAUUCCAAACCUUCGGCUGUCCAAUUGGAUUCCACCAUUGGGCCAGUGGACGGUUCCCCCACACCUGUUGCACUAAUACAAUUGCAUUUCAACUAAUAAUAAUCGCCAAACUACUCACUCAAAUCAACAACCCCACAAAUACCCAACACGCAAGGAUUUUUUCCAGGGUUUUUUUAAUAGGUUUUUUCUCUCGCCGUGAACAAUGACACGGCGGUCACGUGACUGAUGUUUCUAAACAUUUCACAAACUCCGUAUCGAGACGGGAAGUUUCGGACGUCUUCGGAACGGAUCGAUCCUGGGUGCCGAAAUUGCCAUCUCUGCUUUCUACCUCCUGCACCAGUUCAGGCUCCUUUCCCACAAGAGAGGUUACAUUCCAUGUUCCUAAAACCAGUUUCAGUAACCGAAGAUUGGUCCGUCAGGACCCUUGCCUUUGAGUGCCACCUGAUCCACAUAACACCUGACCCCCAUGGCCCCCCCCUACUGGUGGUGGGCCCACAGGAGGG